GACGGAGGAUGCAAGCGUUAUCCGGAAUGAUUGGGCGUAAAGCGUCCGCAGGUGGCAGUUCAAGUCUGCUGUCAAAGACCGGGGCUUAACUUCGGAAAGGCAGUGGAAACUGAACAGCUAGAGUAUGGUAGGGGCAGAGGGAAUUCCUGGUGUAGCGGUGAAAUGCGUAGAUAUCCGGAGGAACACCGGUGGCGAAGGCGGCUUCCUGGACCGACACUGACGCUGAGGCGCGAAAGCUAGGGGAGCAAACAGG
rnacentral:rRNA from 1 species